GGACAAAGGCCCUUACUGGCUUUCCCUGAUGUGUGGAAAGUGCUGUCAGGGGGAAGUGGAUAAAUCCAUGCACCCAUCUGUAAGACACUGCAGAUCCCCAGUUGUGCCGUACUGUGCACAGCUUCCUGUGAGGAGCUACAUACCUUUGAGUCAUGGUUUCAACUCUUUCUGUGGUGAUACAAAGGGAGAGGACCCUCCCUGCUCUGUGCCUCAAUUUCUUCUUGGUGAUCUAGAGCCUAACCCUGCCCCCUUCUCAGUCUCAAGAAUAAAAACUGUGAAGUAGAGACAGUGUCUUCCCUGAAUGAGGUGGGAGCAGACGCCAUUUUAAUAACGCAAGGUGAUACCGUAGGAAAUGGUCCCAAC
rnacentral:lncRNA from 1 species